AGUUGCUCAUUCACUAUUUUAUGUCAGCGACCGCAAUAGCGAGUCAGGCUACAUAAGCCAUCGAAUGACGCCAAAGUAAGGUGCCUACCGUCCAACUAUCCGAUAACAGCCGCUUACGCGCUUUAUCAAACUCCGGACGACACGUUGAGUGAGGCGCCACCU
rnacentral:sRNA from 1 species